ACAAUGGGGGAAACCCUGAUGCAGCGACGCCGCGUGGAGGAAGAAGGUCUUCGGAUUGUAAACUCCUGUUGUUGAGGAAGAUAAUGACGGUACUCAACAAGGAAGUGACGGCUAACUACGUGCCAGCAGCCGCGGUAAAACGUAGGUCACAAGCGUUGUCCGGAAUUACUGGGUGUAAAGGGAGCGCAGGCGGGAAGGCAAGUUGGAAGUGAAAUCCAUGGGCUCAACCCAUGAACUGCUUUCAAAACUGUUUUUCUUGAGUAGUGCAGAGGUAGGCGGAAUUCCCGGUGUAGCGGUGGAAUGCGUAGAUAUCGGGAGGAACACCAGUGGCGAAGGCGGUCUACUGGGCACCAACUGACGCUGAGGCUCGAAAGCAUGGGUAGCAAACAGGAUUAGAUACCCUGGUAGUCCAUGCCGUAAACGAUGAUUACUAGGUGUUGGAGGAUUGACCCCUUCAGUGCCGCAGUUAACACAAUAAGUAAUCCACCUGGGGAGUACGACCGCAAGGUUGAAACUCAAAGGAAUUGACGGGGGCCCGCACAAGCAGUGGAGUAUGUGGUUUAAUUCGAAGCAACGCGAAGAACCUUACCAGGUCUUGACAUCCGAUGCAUAGCACAGAGAUGUGUGAAAUCCUUCGGGACAUCGAGACAGGUGGUGCAUGGUUGUCGUCAGCUCGUGUCGUGAGAUGUUGGGUUAAGUCCCGCAACGAGCGCAACCCUUAUGGUCAGUUACUACGCAAGAGGACUCUGGCCAGACUGCCGUUGACAAAACGGAGGAAGGUGGGGAUGACGUCAAAUCAUCAUGCCCUUUAUGACUUGGGCUACACACGUACUACAAUGGCGUUAAACAAAGAGAAGCAAGACCGCGAGGUGGAGCAAAACUCAAAAACAACGUCUCAGUUCAGAUUGCAGGCUGCAACUCGCCUGCAUGAAGUCGGAAUUGCUAGUAAUCGCGGAUCAGCAUGCCGCGGUGAAUACGUUCCCGGGCCUUGUACACACCGCCCGUCACACCAUGAGAGCCGGGGGGACCCGAAGUCGGUAGUCUAACCGCAAGGAGGACGCCGCCGAAGGUAAAACUGGUGAUUGGGGUGAAGUCGUAACAAGGUAGCCGUAUCGGAAGGUGCGGCUG
rnacentral:rRNA from 1 species